UGGGGAAUUUUGGACAAUGGGCGAAAGCCUGAUCCAGCAAUGCCGCGUGUGUGAAGAAGGCCUUCGGGUUGUAAAGCACUUUUGUCCGGAAAGAAAUCCUCUGGGUUAAUACCUCGGGGGGAUGACGGUACCGGAAGAAUAAGCACCGGCUAACUACGUGCCAGCAGCCGCGGUAAUACGUAGGGUGCAAGCGUUAAUCGGAAUUACUGGGCGUAAAGCGUGCGCAGGCGGUUUUGUAAGACGGAUGUGAAAUCCCCGGGCUUAACCUGGGAACUGCAUUCGUGACUGCAAGGCUAGAGUAUGGCAGAGGGGGGUUAGAAUUCCACGUGUAGCAGUGAAAUGCGUAGAGAUGUGGAGGAAUACCGAUGGCGAAGGCAGCCCCCUGGGCCAAUACUGACGCUCAUGCACGAAAGCGUGGGGAGCAAACAGGAUUAGAUACCCUGGUAGUCCACGCCCUAAACGAUGUCAACUAGUUGUUGGGGAUUCAUUUCCUUAGUAACGUAGCUAACGCGUGAAGUUGACCGCCUGGGGAGUACGGUCGCAAGAUUAAAACUCAAAUGAAUUGACGGGGUCAUAGCUGUUUCCU
rnacentral:rRNA from 1 species